rnacentral:lncRNA from 1 species
AUGGCGGCAGGCGGCUGCGCAGGAGGAGGGGGAGGCCCGGCGGGAGUACGGGGGGUUAACUGGGAGCACUGGUUUGGACUGGGAGGGGGUUUGUGUUAUACUGGUCCAUACUGGGAGCACUGGUUUGUACUGGGAGCCAUACUGGGAGCACUGGUUUGUACUGGGAGCCAUACUGGGAGCACUGGGAGGGGUUACUGGUCCAUACUGGUCCAUACUGGGAGCACUGGGAGCCAAACUGGUCCAUACUGGGAGCACUGGGAGCCCUGGGGGGUAUUACUGGUUCAUACUGGGAAUACUGGGAUGGGGUUUGGGGUGAUACUGGGAGCACUGGUUUGUACUGGGAAAGGGUUUGGGUCAUACUGGUCCAUACUGGGAGCACUGGGAGCCAUACUGCCAUACUGGUCCAUACUGGGAGCACUGGGAUCCAUACUGGGAGCACUGGGAGCCAAACUGGGAAUGCCAACCCCAUACUGGGAGCACUGGGAGCUGUCACUGGUUCAUACUGGGAGCACUGGGAGCCAAACUGGGUCAUACUGGUCCAUACUGGGAACACUGGGAGCCAUACUUGGAAUACUGGGAGAGGGUUUGGCCCAUACUGGUUCAUACUGGGAGCACUGGGAGAGGGUUUCGGUCAUACUGGGCCAUACUGGGAGCACUGGGAGGAGUUACUGGUCCAUACUGGGAGCACUGGGAGGAGUUACUGGUCCAUACUGGUUCAUACUGGGAGCACUGGGAGCGGUCACUGGUCCAUACUGGGAGCACUGGGAGCCAUACUGGGAGCACUGGGAGGGGUUACUGGUCCAUACUGGGAAGGACUGGGAUGCAUACUGGGAGCACUGGGAGCGGGGAGAAUCAUACUGGGAGCACUGGGAGCCUUACUGGGAGCACUGGGAGAGGGUUUGGCCCAUACUGGACCAUACUGGGAGCCAAACUGGUCCAUACUGGGAGCACUGGGAGCUGUUACUGGUCCAUACUGGUCGCACUGGUUUGUACUGGGAGCCCCGGCGAUGACGUCACCGCCCCGCCCGCCAAUAAAAUCGCUCUUCUAACCCCGCUUCGUGCAUGACGUCA